rnacentral:rRNA from 1 species
UACGUAGGAGGCAAGCGUUGUUCCGGAAUUACUGGGCGUAAAGCGCGUGUAGGCGGUCUGAAUAGUCUGCCUGUGAAAGGCGCCUGGCUUAACCGGGCGAGGUCGGCGGAAACUCUCAGACUGGAGGCCGGUAGAGGGGGUGGAAUUCCCGGUGUAGUGGUGAAAUGCGUAGAGAUCGGGAGGAACACCUGUGGCGAAGGCGGCCCCUGGGCCGCGCCUGACGCUGAGACGCGAAGGCUAGGGGAGCGAACGGG